rnacentral:lncRNA from 1 species
GCCUCCCAUCAUCUGAUGCUCAUUCAUCCUCCUCCUCCAGCAAGACCUCAAUGAGACGCUCUCCUCCAUGAUUUCAUCUUCUGUUCACCUCUGGAUGCGUAAAUGGUGGUCUUUCUUCAACGGUUACUGCCACAUUUAGCCAUAUUGUUUCCGUUUCUGAAGCGCUGUUCUCGGGUUUGGAAUUAAAUAGCGCACAAACCGAAACUGAGGAAAUAAAGGUUGACAAUGAAGCAGCAAUACAUUUGAAUCUGGAGAUAUCGACGGAUAUCUACAAAAAGGAUUAUUACGGCAAUGGAGUGGCUCUCAGUGCGUGUGCUCCUCUUCUGCCCAAGUCAACUGCCCCCUCACGCUGCUGUGCCCCUCGCCUCGUCCUCUCAGCACAUCCGGAGGAAGGACUGCCCGUCCCUGUAGGAAUGCCUGUUCGGGCCUGGCACCUGCCUCUGCCCGCGGCUGCUCCCACACCUUUUGCCAUUCCACCCCCCUCCAGCUCUCACAGGCUGCUCCAUCAUGAACGAUGAGGUCAUCAGCACUAACGCACUGGCCUGGCUGGUCUGCUCGGGAGUGUCCAUCCUGGCCAACACCUGGGGAAUCCUGAGCGUGAGCGCCAAGCAGAAGAAGUGGAAGCCUCUGGAAUUCCUCAUCUGUACCCUGGCUGGCACACACAUCCUCAACAUGGGUAUCCCUAUCACCAUGUAUUGCGUCAUUCAGCUGCGGCGACAGCACUCCAACUAUGAGUGGAACGAAGGACUCUGCAAGGUGUUUGUCUCCACCUUCUACACCCUUACCCUGGUCACCUGCUUCUCCGUCACCUCCCUGUCCUACCACCGCAUGUGGAUGGUCCGCUGGCCUGUCAACUAUAGGUUGAGUAACACCAAAAAGCAGGCUGUCCAUACUGUCAUGGGCAUCUGGAUGGUGUCGUUUAUUCUGUCAACCUUGCCUGCUGUGGGCUGGCAUGAUACCACAGAGCGCUUUUACACCCACGACAACUGUCGCUUCAUUGUGACUGAGAUCGGCUUGGGCUUUGGUGUCUGCUUCCUGCUGCUGAUCAGCGGGAGUGUAGUGAUGGGCGUCAUCUGUAUUGGAAUUGCCCUCUUCCAGACCUUUUCCAUCCAGAUGGGUCAAAAUGUAGACAAGAACAAAUUUAACGUGCCCACCAUUGUAGUGGAGGAUGCCCAGGGCAAGAGGCGUUCAUCCAUCGACGGCUCAGAGCCCCUUAAGACGUCGCUGCAGAUAACCUAUCUGAUCAGUGGAAUCGUCUUCAUAUACGACUUUCUAACUGGAUUCCCCAUAUUGGUGGUGAGCUUUGCCAGCCUGAAAUUUGACCGCUCCUACAGUUGGAUGGUCCUGUGUGUCCUCUGGUGCUCCAUAGCUCAAUCAAUCCUGCUCCCCAUGUUCCUGUGGGCUUGCGACCGCUACAGAGCAGACGUCAAGAUGGUCUGGGAGAAAUGUGUGGCCAUCAUGUCCAAUGAUGAAGUGGAUGAAGAAAACAGCCAGGAUGGAGGCAUUCAUCCGGACUUAAUAUUUGACAGACCGUUUGACUAUAGCUCUGCUGGUGAUAUCAUGACGGUAGACCGUAUUGCCAAGUACGAAUUCUCAACCUUAGAAAGGGGGUGCCCCCAGGGUUAUCCAUUGAGGGAGCUUCAGGAAGAUAAAAUGCACUAUUUGCAGUUCUCAGAACAAUGUGGAAUGUGCCCCCUACAAGAAGAUACUCCCACGACGAAACCGACAUGUGGACCACCGGCCAGAUCCCGUCUUACCUGCAUCGCUGGGGCUCCACAGAGGACAUCAUUGGCAUCCCGCAAUACAGCUCGCUGCGCCACGAGAGACAUCGGAGCAGCCCUGCGUCCUACCACGAGGAGAGCCACCCACACCGCAAAAGGAGGCGAUCCGAGGACAUGCAUUCGCUCAAGCAGAUUCCACGAGUCGAGCGUUAUGAGGGCGAUUUCAAGUGCUUUAGCCGCGACGAAGUGAUUAACUUCAUUGAUGAGACGCCACUUGCUAGUCCAAUGAGAAGCCCGCGGCGAGCCUCUACGAUCUCUCUGGUUCCAGAGACCUUCGAGCAGCACGUUGUUUUGUUGCCGCAUUUCCCGCUCACGCACUUUGAGCGCGAGCCUCAAGCGUUGAGACGCUGCUCUGAGCACGGCAAAGGAGCCACGCCAGGCGAGAUCCCUCAGGAUCCGCAGAGAAAGGCGAGGGACGGUAGCGUUGGCGAAGGCUCGGGCAUCAAGGCAUGCCCUGAGCACAAGCGUGCAUCAGAGCUUGUCCCGUUGGGACCAGGUGCAUGGACAGGGGAGCAGUCGUCUUCAAGUAUUUGGACAGGACAGGUAGAUGCAUCUGCUUGGGUGGACCAGAAGCACCUGCCAAAAGGGGAAAGCAAAGGAAGCACUAAUAGUUUUAUAAGCUCACAAUCUGCAUCGUCAGGCUAUAUGACAUCCAUAGGAUCCACGAACUAAGCGACAGUUUUAUUAGAAUAUUUUCAAGUAGAUAUGCUUAUUAGUGUUAAAGCUUUGACUAAGUGGAAUGUUUUUGUUAACUAGGAAGUGGGAUUUUUUAAGUGUGAUGAUUCUAAAUGGCAUAAGGACACCAUCGUUGGUCAAAAUACUGCCUUUCUUGACUAAGGAAUUUGGGGC